UACAUGGGGUGCAAACGUUGCUCGGAAUUAUUGGGCGUAAAGGGCGCGUAGGCGGCCUUCUAAGUCGGACGUGAAAUCCCUCGGCUUAACCGAGGAACUGCGUCCGAUACUGAAAGGCUUGAAUCCGGGAGAGGGAUGUGGAAUUCCAGGUGUAGCGGUGAAAUGCGUAGAUAUCUGGAGGAACACCGGUGGCGAAGGCGGCAUCCUGGACCGGUAUUGACGCUGAGGCGCGAAAGCUAGGGGAGCAAACGGG
rnacentral:rRNA from 1 species